rnacentral:rRNA from 1 species
UACGAAGGGGGCUAGCGUUGUUCGGAUUUACUGGGCGUAAAGCGCACGUAGGCGGAUAUUUAAGUCAGGGGUGAAAUCCCGGGGCUCAACCCCGGAACUGCCUUUGAUGCUGGGUAUCUCGAGUUCGAGAGAGGUGAGUGGAAUUCCGAGUGUAGAGGUGAAAUUCGUAGAUAUUCGGAGGAACACCAGUGGCGAAGGCGGCUCACUGGCUCGAUACUGACGCUGAGGUGCGAAAGCGUGGGGAGCAAACAGG